rnacentral:rRNA from 1 species
UACGUAGGGUGCGAGCGUUGUCCGGAAUUACUGGGCGUAAAGGGCGCGUAGGCGGCCAGCACAAGUCAGUUGUGAAAUCUCCGGGCUUAACUCGGAAAGGUCAACUGAUACUGUGCGGCUAGAGUGCAGAAGGGGCAACUGGAAUUCUCGGUGUAGCGGUGAAAUACGUAGAUAUCUGGAGGAAUACCGGUGGCGAAGGCGGCUAUCUGGCCCAACAUUGACGCUGAGACCCGAAAGCAUGGGGAUCAAACAGG